GGUUAAGUUAGAAAGGGCGCACGGUGGAUGCCUUGACACUAGGAGUCGAUGAAGGACGGGACUAACGCCGAUAUGCUUCGGGGAGCUGUAAGUAAGCUUUGAUCCGAAGAUUUCCGAAUGGGGAAACCCACCAUACGUAAUGGUAUGGUAUCCUUAUCUGAAUACAUAGGGUAAGGAAGACAGACCCAGGGAACUGAAACAUCUAAGUACCUGGAGGAAGAGAAAGCAAAUGCGAUUUCCUGAGUAGCGGCGAGCGAAACGGAACAUAGCCCAAACCAAGAGGCUUGCCUCUUGGGGUUGUAGGACAUUCUAUACGGAGUUACAAAGGAACGAGGUAGACGAAGCGACCUGGAAAGGUCCGUCGUAGAGGGUAACAACCCCGUAGUCGAAACUUCGUUCUCUCUUGAAUGUAUCCUGAGUACGGCGGAACACGUGAAAUUCCGUCGGAAUCUGGGAGGACCAUCUCCCAAGGCUAAAUACUCCCUAGUGAUCGAUAGUGAACCAGUACCGUGAGGGAAAGGUGAAAAGCACCCCGGAAGGGGAGUGAAAGAGAUCCUGAAACCGUGUGCCUACAAAUAGUCAGAGCCCGUUAACGGGUGAUGGCGUGCCUUUUGUAGAAUGAACCGGCGAGUUACGAUCCCGUGCGAGGUUAAGCUGAAGAGGCGGAGCCGCGGCGAAAGCGAGUCUGAAUAGGGCGUUUAGUACGUGGUCGUAGACCCGAAACCAGGUGAUCUACCCAUGUCCAGGGUGAAGUUCAGGUAACACUGAAUGGAGGCCCGAACCCACGCACGUUGAAAAGUGCGGGGAUGAGGUGUGGGUAGCGGAGAAAUUCCAAUCGAACCUGGAGAUAGCUGGUUCUCCCCGAAAUAGCUUUAGGGCUAGCCUUAAGUGUAAGAGUCUUGGAGGUAGAGCACUGAUUGGACUAGGGGUCCUCAUCGGAUUACCGAAUUCAGUCAAACUCCGAAUGCCAAUGACUUAUCCUUAGGAGUCAGACUGCGAGUGAUAAGAUCCGUAGUCAAAAGGGAAACAGCCCAGACCGCCAGCUAAGGUCCCAAAGUGUGUAUUAAGUGGAAAAGGAUGUGGAGUUGCUUAGACAACUAGGAUGUUGGCUUAGAAGCAGCCACCAUUUAAAGAGUGCGUAAUAGCUCACUAGUCGAGUGACUCUGCGCCGAAAAUGUACCGGGGCUAAAUACACCACCGAAGCUGCGGAUUGAUACCAAUGGUAUCAGUGGUAGGGAGCGUUCUAAGGACAGUGAAGUCAGACCGGAAGGACUGGUGGAGUGCUUAGAAGUGAGAAUGCCGGUAUGAGUAGCGAAAGACGGGUGAGAAUCCCGUCCACCGAAUGCCUAAGGUUUCCUGAGGAAGGCUCGUCCGCUCAGGGUUAGUCAGGACCUAAGCCGAGGCCGACAGGCGUAGGCGAUGGACAACAGGUUGAUAUUCCUGUACCACCUCUUUAUCGUUUGAGCAAUGGAGGGACGCAGAAGGAUAGAAGAAGCGUGCGAUUGGUUGUGCACGUCCAAGCAGUUAGGCUGAUAAGUAGGCAAAUCCGCUUAUCGUAAAGGCUGAGCUGUGAUGGGGAAGCUCCUUAUGGAGCGAAGUCUUUGAUUCCCCGCUGCCAAGAAAAGCUUCUAGCGAGAUAAAAGGUGCCUGUACCGCAAACCGACACAGGUAGGCGAGGAGAGAAUCCUAAGGUGUGCGAGAGAACUCUGGUUAAGGAACUCGGCAAAAUGACCCCGUAACUUCGGGAGAAGGGGUGCUUUCUUAACGGAAAGCCGCAGUGAAUAGGCCCAAGCGACUGUUUAGCAAAAACACAGCUCUCUGCGAAGCCGUAAGGCGAAGUAUAGGGGGUGACACCUGCCCGGUGCUGGAAGGUUAAGGAGAGGGGUUAGCGUAAGCGAAGCUCUGAACUGAAGCCCCAGUAAACGGCGGCCGUAACUAUAACGGUCCUAAGGUAGCGAAAUUCCUUGUCGGGUAAGUUCCGACCCGCACGAAAGGUGUAACGAUUUGGGCACUGUCUCAACCAGAGACUCGGUGAAAUUAUAGUACCUGUGAAGAUGCAGGUUACCCGCGACAGGACGGAAAGACCCCGUGGAGCUUUACUGUAGCCUGAUAUUGAAUUUUGGUACAGUUUGUACAGGAUAGGCGGGAGCCUUUGAAACCGGAGCGCUAGCUUCGGUGGAGGCGCUGGUGGGAUACCGCCCUGACUGUAUUGAAAUUCUAACCUACGGGUCUUAUCGACCCGGGAGACAGUGUCAGGUGGGCAGUUUGACUGGGGCGGUCGCCUCCUAAAGUGUAACGGAGGCGCCCAAAGGUUCCCUCAGAAUGGUUGGAAAUCAUUCGUAGAGUGCAAAGGCAUAAGGGAGCUUGACUGCGAGACCUACAAGUCGAGCAGGGACGAAAGUCGGGCUUAGUGAUCCGGUGGUUCCGCAUGGAAGGGCCAUCGCUCAACGGAUAAAAGCUACCCCGGGGAUAACAGGCUUAUCUCCCCCAAGAGUCCACAUCGACGGGGAGGUUUGGCACCUCGAUGUCGGCUCAUCGCAUCCUGGGGCUGUAGUCGGUCCCAAGGGUUGGGCUGUUCGCCCAUUAAAGCGGUACGCGAGCUGGGUUCAGAACGUCGUGAGACAGUUCGGUCCCUAUCCGUCGUGGGCGUAGGAAAUUUGAGAGGAGCUGUCCUUAGUACGAGAGGACCGGGAUGGACGCACCGCUGGUGUACCAGUUGUUCUGCCAAGGGCAUAGCUGGGUAGCUAUGUGCGGAAGGGAUAAGUGCUGAAAGCAUCUAAGCAUGAAGCCCCCCUCAAGAUGAGAUUUCCCAUAGCGUAGGCUAGUAAGAUCCCUGAAAGAUGAUCAGGUUGAUAGGUUCGAGGUGGAAGCAUGGUGACAUGUGGAGCUGACGAAUACUAAUAGAUCGAGGACUUAACCAU
rnacentral:rRNA from 1 species